GAGUAAGAAAAGGGCGUACGGGGAAUGCCUUGGGUCCUAUAGGCGAUGAAGGACGUGGCAAGCUGCGAAAAGCUGCGGGGAUCGGCAAGCACGAGUUGAUCCGCAGAUAUCCGAAUGGGGCAACCC
rnacentral:rRNA from 1 species